rnacentral:lncRNA from 10 species
CAAAAAAAAUAAAAUAAAAUAAAACCAUCAUCAAAAACAAAAACACAAAAAACAACAGCAGAAAAUUAUAACCAUCCUAAUAGGUAUAAAAUGAUAUCUUGUGAUUUUGAUUUGCAUCUCCCUUGUGAUGAAUGAUGAGCAUAUUUUUAUGUGUUUAUUGGCCAUUAGAAUAUCUUAUUUGAAGAACUAUUCAUAUCCCUUGCCUAUUUUUUAUUUGGCUUGCUUGUCUUUUUUCUUGUUGAAUUAUAAGGGUUCUUCAUGUAUUAUAGAUACUAGACUUAGCAGAUACAUGAUUUGCCAAUAAUUUCUCCUAUUCCGUAGGUUGUCUUUUCACUUUCUUGAUAGGGUCUUUAGAUGCACAAAAGUUUUUAUUUUGAUGAAGCUCAAUUUAUCUACUUUUUCUUCCUUCCUUUUUUUUUUUUUUAUUUUGAGACGAAGUUUUGCUCUAUCACCCAGGCUGGAGUGCAGCGGCACAAGCUUGGCUCACUGCAACCUCCGCCUCCCAAGUUCAAGCAAUUCUCCUGCCUCAGCCUCCUGAGUAGCUGGGAUACAAGCGUGCACCACCACUCCUGGCUAAUUUUUGUAUUUUUAGUAGAGACGGGGUUUCACCGUGUUGGCCAGGCUGGUCUAGAACACCUGACCUCAAGUGAUCGCCCUAAGUUGGCCUCCUAAAUUGCUGGGAUUACAGGCAUGAGCCACCAUUCCCAGACAAUUUUAUCUAUUUUUUCUUUUGUUGCUUGAGGUUUUUAUGUCAAACUAAAAAACUGUUGCCAGAUCCAAGGUCAUGUAGCUUUAUCUCUAUGUUUUAGAGGUGGGGGUUCACUUUCUUGCCCAGCCAGAGUGAAGUGGCUAUUCACAGGUGUGAUCAAAGCUAACUGCUCAAAUCCUGGCCUCAAAGGAUCCUCCCGCCUCAGCCUCCCAAGUAACUGGGACUACAGGCACUGCUGCCUGACUCUACUUUAUAUUUUUUAGUUAUUUUCUUAGUGAUUACCCUGAGGAUUACAGUUAACAUUAUAAUUUAUAACAAUCAAGUUUGAAUUUAUACCAGGUUAGUUUAAAUAGCAUACAGAACUUUGCUCUUACAUAGCUCCAUCCCUCCUUUAUGUUGCUAUUGCUGCAAACUACAUCUUCAUGCAUCGUGUGCUGAUUAACAUAUAUUUAUAACUAUUGUUUAUGCACUUGUCUUUUAAAUCAUAUAAAAAACAAGGAGUUAUAAAGCAAAAAUAUAGUAAUACUGUUUUUUGUAGUUAUAAUACCUUUACCUAUGUAGUUGUAAUACCUUUACUGAAGUUCUUUCUUCACAUGGCCGCAAGUUACUGUAUAUUGCCUUUCAUGUCAGCCUGAAGGACUCCUUUUAGCAUUUCCUGUAGGGCUGGUCUACUAGUGACAAAUUUCUCCAGUUUUUGUUAAUCUGGGAGUGUCUUAAUUUCUACUUCAUUACUGAAUAUAGUUUUGCCAGAUAAAAUUUUUUGGCCAGGCUUGCUGGCUCAUGCUUGUAAUCCCAGCACUUUGGGAGGCUGAGGGGGGAGGAUUGUUUUGAGCUCAGGAGUUCAAGACCAACCUGGGCAACAUGACAAAAUCCCAACUCUACAAAAAAUACAAAAAUUAGCCCGGCAUUGGUGGCUUGUGCCUGUAGUCCCUGCUACUCACGAGGCUGAGGCUGGAGAGUCACUUGAGCCUUGGAAGCGGAGGUUGCAGUGAGUUGAAAUCAUGCCACUGCACUCCAGUCUAUACUCCCCUGUCUCAAAAGAAAGAAUUUUUUUUUUUGGUUGACAUUUUUUCUCUUUCAGUACUUUAAAUGUGUCAUCCACUAACUGUGGCUUUCAUAGUUUCUAAUGAGGAAUCAAUUGUUAAUUUUAUUUAGAAUUUCUUGUAAAUAAUGAGUUGCCUCUCUCUUGCUGCUUUCAAGAUGCUCUCUUUGGCUUUUGACAGCUUGGUUAUAAUGCGUCUCUGUCUGGUUCUCUAUACUUGAAAUUUGUUGAGCUUCUUGGGUGUGAAGAGUCAUGUCUUUCAUUACAUUUGAGAAGUUUUGGCCAUUAAUUCUUCAAAUAUUGUCUCUGCCCCUUUCUCUUUCUCCUCCUCUUUUAAAACUCUCUCUCUUUUUUUUUUUUUGUUUUUGUUUUUGAUACAAAGUGUCACUCUGUCACCCAGGCUGGAGUGCAGUGGUGUGAUCUCAGCUCACUGCAACCUCUGCCUCCCAGGUUCAAGUGAUUCUCAUGCCUCAGCCUUCUGAGUAGCUGGGAUUACAGGCGUGUGCCACCAUACCCACCUAAUUUUUGUAUUUUGUAUUUUUUUAAAUUUUGUUUAUAUAUUUAUUUAUUUAUUUUGAGAUGAAGUCUCAUUCUGUUGCCUAGGCUGGAGUACAGUGGCACAAUCUUGGCUCACUGCAACCUCUGCCUCCCAGGUUCAAGCAAUUCUCUCAGCCUCCCAAGUAGCUGGGAUUAUAGGCAUAUGCCACCAUGCCAGGCUAAUUUUUGUAUUUUUUGUAGACACAGGGUUUUGCCAUGUUGGCCAGGCUGGUCUCAAACUCCUGACCAGCCCUCCUUGACCUUCCAAAGUGCUGGGAUUAUAGGCGUGAGCCAUUGCACCUGGCCCAGUUCCCUGGGAUACAUGUGUUUUAAUUCAUUUUCUGUUGCUAGUAACAGAAUACCUGAAACUGGGUAAUUUAUAAGGAAAAGAAAUUUAUUUCUUACAGUGAUGGAGGUUGAGAAGUCCAACUUCAAGGCACCACAUCUGGUGAGAGCCUUCAUUCCGAUGACAGCCUUCAUGCUGGUGGCAAUAGCUAAUACAUUUGCCUUUAAAUUUGUUUGACAAACACCACCCUGGAAGUAGCCUCAACUCUGGGGAAGCUCCAAGACAGGUAAAAUACAGCAACCUGCAGCAGGAAAAUGGGCUUCAGUUUUCAAGUCUGCAGCUGAGUUGGGAAGUUGCGGACAGUAACCAGGAUCGCUGUCCUUAUAAGAAGUGGAAGAAACAUCAGAGAGCUCUCCCUCUCCACACACACAGAGGAAAGGCCACAUGGGGACAAGAGAGGGCAACUGUCUACAAAUCUGGAAGAGAGACUUCAGAAGAAACCAGCACUGAUGGCAUCUGAUCUUGGACUUCCAGCCUCUGGAUCUAUCUGCCAGAGCCUGAUCUCAUACACACUGAUGUGGUACAGGAAAUGCCACCUGAAAAUAUGGUACCUUGGCAUUUGAGGAAACAGUAGAAGGAGGUCAUAGAAACUAGAAAGAAUUCCUCCUUGCUCUUUGUCCCCCAAAGGAGCCAUAAAACCUGGGCCGAGUUUCUUCUGAAAAUAAGUUAUAAGAUCCUUAUUCCAGAGGGGUCCUGCCCUGUGCCUGGAGGAAAAGAAUGAAGACACAGAGAUGCCUUGAAGAAUCUGAACAAACAGCCCUUGCUAAGUUCCCCCCAGUUUAUUGACAUUAGAUUAGACCUUUUGUCCUCCAAUUAUACUUCUGUGUUCCUGAAAAUACACAUUUUCCCGUUUUUUCUUUUGUUUGCUUUUUUUGAUCUUCAUUUCUGAAGAUUCCCAUGUCAUGUAAAAUAUAUGUUAAACAAAU